GAUGAACGCGGCGGCGUGCUUAACACAUGCAAGUCGAACGAGAGAUACAGGAGGAAGUUUUCGGACGGAAUCCGGUAGAUCGAGUGGCGGACGGGUGAGUAACGCGUGGGGAACCUGCCUCAUACAGGGGGAUAACAGUUGGAAACGACUGUUAAUACCGCAUAAGACCACAGAGUCGCAUGACUCAGGGGUAAAAACUCCGGUGGUAUGAGAUGGACCCGCGUUCGAUUAGCCAGUUGGCGGGGUAACGGCCCACCAAAGCGACGAUCGAUAGCCGAUUUGAGAGAAUGACCGGCCACAUUGGGACUGAGACACGGCCCAAACUCCUGCGGGAGGCAGCAGUGGGGAAUAUUGCACAAUGGGGGGAACCCUGAUGCAGCGACGCCGCGUGAGUGAAGAAGUAUUUCGGUAUGUAAAGCUCUAUCAGCAGGGAAGAAGAUGACGGUACCUGAU
rnacentral:rRNA from 1 species